rnacentral:rRNA from 1 species
AGUCUAAUGAAAAGUAAUAUUAGAUGUAUUCUGCUCAAUGAAGAUUAAAUGGCCGCAGUACCCUGACUGUGCAAAGGUAGCAUAAUAAUUUGGCUUAUAAUUGAAGUCGGGAAUGAAUGAGUGUUUGGGUAUAUGCUUUCUUAACUAAAAUACUAUAAAUUUUCUUAAUAAGUGAAAAUUCUUAUAAAAUUAAAUUAGACGAGAAGACCCUAAAAAUUUUAAGAAAUAUUUAUGCUUUUUGUUGGGGCGACAUGUCUACAUUUUUAACUAGACUAAAUAUAUGAAUUACAUAAAAACUAUAUUAGAACUGUUUAAAUUACUUUAGGGAUAACAGCAUAAUUUAUAUAUUAGUUUGUGACCUCGAUGUUGGACUAGGAUAAUUUAAAUCUAAAAGGUUUAAGUAAAGGUUCUGUUCGAACUUAAUCUCCUACAUG